rnacentral:rRNA from 1 species
AAAUUGAAGAGUUUGAUCAUGGCUCAGAUUGAACGCUGGCGGCAGGCCUAACACAUGCAAGUCGAACGGUAACAGGAAGCAGCUUGCUGUUUCGCUGACGAGUGGCGGACGGGUGAGUAAUGUCUGGGAAACUGCCUGAUGGAGGGGGAUAACUACUGGAAACGGUAGCUAAUACCGCAUAACGUCGCAAGACCAAAGAGGGGGACUUUCGGGCCUCUUGCCAUCGGAUGUGCCCAGAUGGGAUUAGCUAGUAGGUGGGGUAA